GCCAGACUCCUACGGGAGGCAGCAGUGAGGAAUAUUGGUCAAUGGGCGGGAGCCUGAACCAGCCAAGUCGCGUGAGGGACGACGGUCCUAUGGAUUGUAAACCUCUUUUGUCGGGGAACAAAGGCGCCCACGGGUGGGCGGAUGAGUGUACCCGAAGAAAAAGCAUCGGCUAACUCCGUGCCAGCAGCCGCGGUAAUACGGAGGAUGCGAGCGUUGUCCGGAAUUACUGGGUGUAAAGGGAGCGUAGGCGGGGAUGCAAGUUGGGUGUCAAAACUACCGGCUCAACUGGUAGCCGCACUCAAAACUGCAGCUCUUGAGUGAAGUAGAGGCAGGCGGAAUUCCUAGUGUAGCGGUGAAAUGCGUAGAUAUUAGGAGGAACACCAGUGGCGAAGGCGGCCUGCUAGGCUUUUACUGACGCUGAAGCUCGAAAGUGUGGGGAGCAAACAGGAUUAGAUACCCGUGUA
rnacentral:rRNA from 1 species